rnacentral:rRNA from 1 species
CUACGGGAGGCAGCAGUGGGGAAUAUUGCACAAUGGGCGCAAGCCUGAUGCAGCCAUGCCGCGUGUAUGAAGAAGGCCUUCGGGUGUAAAGUACUUUCAGCAGUGAGGAAGGUGGGUAUGUUAAUAGCAUACUCAUUUGACGUUAGCUGCAGAAGAAGCACCGGCUAACUCCGUGCCAGCAGCCGCGGUAAUACGGAGGGUGCGAGCGUUAAUCGGAAUUACUGGGCGUAAAGCGCAUGCAGGUGGUUUGUUAAGUCAGAUGUGAAAGCCCGGGGCUCAACCUCGGAAUUGCAUUUGAAACUGGCAAACUAGAGUACUGUAGAGGGGGUAGAAUUUCAGGUGUAGCGGUGAAAUGCGUAGAGAUCUGAAGGAAUACCGGUGGCGAAGGCGGCCCCCUGGACAGAUACUGACACUCAGAUGCGAAAGCGUGGGGAGCAAACAGGAUUAGAUACCCUGGUAG